rnacentral:rRNA from 1 species
AGUUCUGAUCCUGGCUCAGAUUGAACGCUGGCGGAUGUUUACGUUGCUGGUGCCUGAACGGCAGCACGGACUUCGGUCUGGUGGCGAGUGGCGAAUGUAAGAGGGCUCGUAUCGAACGUGGCCUUGGUAUGUGAUAACUACGCGAAAACAGCUAAUACCGCAUACGUUCUCAGGGAAAGCGGGGACCUUCGGGCCUCGCACUAUUAGGAGCGGCCGAUAUCGGAUUAGCUAGUUGGUGGGGUAACGGUCACCAAGGCGACGAUCCGUAGCUGGUUUGAGAGGACGACCAGCCACACUGGGACUGAGACACGGCCCAGACUCUACGGGAGGCAGUAAUUUUGACAAUGGGGAAACCCUGAUCCAGCCAUCCCGCGUGCGAUGAAGGCCUUCGGGUUAAAAAGCACUUUGGCGAAAGAAACGGCACGGAUAAUACCCCGUGCAACUGACGGUACUCUGCAGAAUAAGCACCGGCUUAACGCCGCGCCAGCAGCCGCGGUAAUACGUGGGGUGCAAGCGUUAAUCGGAAUUACUGGGCGUAAAGCGUGCGCAGGCGGUUCGGAAAGAAAGAUGUGAAAUCCCAGAGCUUCAACUUUGGAACUGCAUUUUUAACUGUACUUAGCUAGAGUGUGUCAGAGGGAGGUGGAAUUCCGCGUAGCAGUGAAAUGCGUAGAUAUGCGGAGAGGAACACCGAUGGCGAAAGUGCAGCCCCCCGGGGAUAACACUGACGCUCAUGCACGAAAGCGUGGGGAGCAAACAGGAUUAGAUACCCCGGUAGUCCACGCCCUAAACGAUGUCAACUAGCUGUUGGGGCCUUCGCCUUGGUAGCGCAGCGAUCAAGAAGUUGACCGCCUGGGGGAGUACGGUCGCAAGAUUAAAACUCAAAGGAAUUGACGGGGACUCGCACAAGCGGUGGAUGAUGUGGAUUAAUUCGAUGCAACGCGAAAAACCUUACCUACCCUUGACAUGUCUGGAAUCCCGAAGAGGAUUUGGAGUGCUCAAGAGAACCGGAACACAGGUGCUGCAUGGCUGUCGUCAGCUCGUACGCAGAUGUUGGGUUAAGUCCGCAAUGAGCGCAACCCUUGUCAUUAGUUGCUAUGAAAGUUGUUCUAAUGAGACUGCCGGUGACAAACCGAAGAAGGUGGGGAUGCACGCCGUCCUCAUGGCCCUUAUGGGUAGGGCUUCACACGUCAUACAAUGGUCGGGACAGAGGGUCGCCAACCCGCGAGGGGGAGCCAAUCCCAGAAACCCGAUCGUAGUCCGGAUCGCAGUCUGCAACUCGACUGCGUGAAGUCGGAAUCGCUAGCAUCUGCGGAUCAGCAAUGCCGCGGUGAAUACGUUCCCGGGUCUUGCACACACCGCCCGUCAUCAUGGAUGGGGUUUUACCAGAAGUAGUUACCUAACCGGGCGAGAGUGAUUGGCUGACAGGUAGGAUUCAUGAUCAGUGAAGUCGCAUCAU